CUUUAGUUUGAAACCCCGAAACCAGGUGAGCUACCCCGAGACAGCCUAUAUAAAUUAGGGCUAACCCGUCUCUGUGGCAAAAGAGUGGGAAGAGCUCCGGGUAGAAGUGACAGACCUACCGAACCUGGUGAUAGCUGGUUGCCUGAGAAGUGGAUAGAAGUUCAGCCCCGUAUACCCCAGACCAAAACCCAUCAUUUAAGGUAUUUGAGGGAGACGUACGAGAGUUAGUUAAAGGGGGUACAGCCCCUUUAACAAAGGACACAACCUUAACAGGAGAAUAAAGAUCAAAAUAAUCAAAACAAACUAUUUUAGUGGGCCUAAAAGCAGCCAUCUGAACAGAAAGCGUUAAAGCUCGGACAGAUUAAAGUUUAUUAUACCGAUAAAAAAUCUUACUUCCCUAAAAAUAUCAGGCUAUCCCAUGCCCCCAUGGGAGAAAUUAUGCUAAAAUGAGUAACAAGAAGACCUGUUCUUCUCCUAGCACAAGUGUAAACCAGAUCGGACAAACCACUGGAAAAUAACGAACCCAACCCAAGAGAGUAUUGUGAAUGAUACAAAAACCAAGAAAAACCCACAACUAACCAAUCGUUAACCCCACACUGGAGUGCUAUUUUUAAAGGAAAGACUAAAAGAGAGGGAAGGAACUCGGCAAACACAAGCCUCGCCUGUUUACCAAAAACAUCGCCUCCUGCAACUAGAUUAAGUAUAGGAGGUCCAGCCUGCCCAGUGACUACGGGUUCAACGGCCGCGGUAUUUUGACCGUGCAAAGGUAGCGCAAUCACUUGUCUUUUAAAUAGAGACCUGUAUGAAUGGCUAAACGAGGGCUUAACUGUCUCCCCCUUCCAGUCAGUGAAAUUGAUCUAUCCGUGCAGAAGCGGGUAUAAUAAUACAAGACGAGAAGACCCUUUGGAGCUUAAGGUACAAAACUUAACCACGUCAAACAACUUAAUAAAAAGCAAAAACUUAGUGGAAUAUAAGAUUUUACCUUCGGUUGGGGCGACCGCGGAGGAAAAACCAGCCUCCGAGUGGAACGGGGUAAACCCCUAAAACCAAGAGAGACAUCUCUAAGCCACAGAACAUCUGACCAACAAUGAUCCGACCCACAAGUCGAUCAACGAACCAAGUUACCCUAGGGAUAACAGCGCAAUCCUCUCCCAGAGUCCAUAUCGACGAGGGGGUUUACGACCUCGAUGUUGGAUCAGGACAUCCUAAUGGUGCAGCCG
rnacentral:rRNA from 1 species